ACGACCUCUCUCUUUGUAGUUUCCGAGUUGAAGUUGAACGUCGGAGCUCACUGUCACCGUCGUUGUUCCUAAAAAGGUGAUUCCCUUUCCUUUGUAAUUUUAGCCUCUUUGAAUUCGCUUGGCUUUCUCAUAUGUUCGAAUUCUGCGUGUAUGUCGCUUCAAUGUAUGCAUAACUUCUGUAGUUUUAGUAUAUGAUUAAGUUCUGAACACACUCUCUGAUUUUUAUGCUUUAGUUCUAUUAAGUUUAUGCCUUAUAUAAUUAAUUCCUAGUUCAAAUUUUGCUCACUUUUUUGUUUUAAGUGUUUCAAUUUUAUAUCAAUCUCAGCUUAGAUGUUGAUUCUCUAUUUUUUAUAUUUGAAUCCACUGUGUAAUUUUAAUUUGUUUAAUAUAAGCAUAUACCUUGUAUGUUUAUUUGUUCAAUGAUUGUAGAUUAGAUCCUUAAUCGAUUUUCUUUAGUUUUGACAAUAGUCCCUUCUUAUUUGCUUAGAUAUGUGAUACAAAUGAAGUGAGAAACACCCAACUUGGUAUCCCUCAGCAUCUUCUUCUCUGUUAAAUUGUGGCUUGAAUGGAUUAAGGAUCAAAGUUAUUGUACAGUUUGUUUGUCAUCUCAAAUAGACUAAUGAUUUGCCUCUAGUUGAUAGUUCUGAAUGAGAUAUUAAGAGCAUGAGUAUGUAUGGACUUCUGUAUUUGCAUUAAGGUUAUGUUCGGUUGUUGCUUAAAGCAUUUAAGAGGAUGUGUAGAGUGUAACUCCAUCCUUAUAUGUGUUAGAUCCCGUUUGGAUUGGCUUAAAAAAAGUAGUUUUUAAGUCAAAAAUAAAAAUUCAAACGUAAAUGACUUUUAAGGCAAAAAAUAAAAAGCAGGGGAGGUCUACUUUUGGUUUUUAACUUAUUUUAAGUCAUUUUUAACCUUGCAAAAUACUUCCUAACUUAUUUUAAGUAAGAAUACCUAAUUUUGAGUGGAAAAGCAUUCAAUUUUGAUAUAGUUUUCUUAAUUGUUUCUUGUCAGAAUCUAUAAGCUUUAGUAAAUUCAUGGACUCAUGGUCUUAUACCUUCCACUCGCAAGGCUCACUGCUUAGUUGAGAAAUCGUGAGUGCAAGCAGAGACUGAGAAAUCACGAAGCCGUUAAUAGAAAUCAUGCUCGCAGACUCACUAGUUACUGCUCAGUUGAGAAAUCACGAGGCGUCAGCGUAGCUUAUGAGUUCUGAGAGAAAUCCUGGGUGCAGUUCUUAAUGUAAAAUGAAUAUAUUAGAAAUUAGAACGGAACCCAUAAAUGUAUACCCCAACUCUUAAGUCAAUUACUCAAGGAGUAGAAAUGUAAUUAAGUAAAGUACUUAUUGGGUAAUCGGGUUACCCCAGUAAAAAUCUGGUCAAAUCUGAUCCAAUUCAAUAAUUUGAUAAUUGUAGUAUAGUAAAUCGAGACCUGAAUCAACAAUCCAAUAACUCAAACCAUUGGCCCAAUAACCAAACAGGAAAUUACACAAGUUGUCCACCAAAGUGUGUGGUCUUGAUUUUUUGUCCCCAUAAGAAAAGUUUGUAAAGACUAGCCUUCUUCCUCUUUAUGUAUAGCACAAAUACACUUUUGUCCCUCUACACCUCAAGUGUUUUAAAACAACUCUCCAUGUCUCAACGUUUUUUUUUUUU
rnacentral:lncRNA from 1 species